GCUUCAUUGGUGCAGUGGUAGCACGCCAGUUUCCCAAACUGGAGGUCAGGGGUUCGAACCCCCUAUGUAGCA